AGUUGGACUAUGUAGAGGACUAUUGGUGACAAAUUCAUCCUUGAUGUGAUAUGAUUGUGAUGUGAUGCAUUCCAUGUUACCAUAUGUUUUAAAUGUUUUAUUAUUCUGCUCACUGGGCUUUAUAGCUCACCCCUCUCCCUUAACCCCCAGGUUUGCAGGUACAGGGUAGACCAGGAGGUCAGCAAGAGUAAUGAAGUCUUGGUUAUGUAAUAGAUAGUGUGGACAUGAAUAAUGUUGAGAUGUUAUGUUAAGUACAGUAUAGAAAUGUAAUGUAAUGAUGUUCAUGGAUGUUAGAG
rnacentral:lncRNA from 1 species